AUUGAACGCUGGCGGCAGGCCUAACACAUGCAAGUCGAGCGGAUGAAGGGAGCUUGCUCCUGGAUUCAGCGGCGGACGGGUGAGUAAUGCCUAGGAAUCUGCCUGGUAGUUGGGGAUAACGUCCGGAAACGGGCGCUAAUACCGCAUACGUCCUGAGGGAGAAAGUGGGGGAUCUUCGGACCUCACGCUAUCAGAUGAGCCUAGGUCGGAUUAGCUAGUUGGUGGGGUAAAGGCCUACCAAGGCGACGAUCCGUAACUGGUCUGAGAGGAUGAUCAGUCACACUGGAACUGAGACACGGUCCAAACUCCUACGGGAGGCAGCAGUGGGGAAUAUUGGACAAUGGGCGAAAGCAUGAUCCAGCCAUGCCGCGUGUGUGAAGAAGGUCUUCGGAUUGUAAAGCACUUUAAGUUGGGAGGAAGGGCAGUAAGUUAAUACCUUGCUGUUUUGACGUUACCAACAGAAUAAGCACCGGCUAACUUCGUG
rnacentral:rRNA from 1 species